GAUAAACGCUGGCGGCGUGCAUGAGACAUGCAAGUCGAACGAAGGAUCGGGCUUGCUCGAUCCUUAGUGGCGGACGGCUGAGUAACGCGUAGGUGACCUACCCCGAAGUGGGGAAUAACUGCCCGAAAGGGUGGCUAAUACCGCAUGUGGUCGCACGUUCAUUCGUGCGAGUAAAGCCGCAAGGCGCUUCGGGAGGGGCCUGCGUCCGAUUAGCUCGUUGGUGGGGUAAUGGCUUACCAAGGCGACGAUCGGUAGGUGGUCUGAGAGGACGAUCACCCAGACUGGGACUGAGACACGGCCCAGACUCCUACGGGAGGCAGCAGUCGGGAAUUUUGCUCAAUGGGGGAAACCCUGAAGCAGCAACGCCGCGUGAGGGAUGAAGGCCUUCGGUUGUAACUCUUUGUUCAGGGACGAUGAUGACGGUACCUGGCGAAUAAGCCACGGCUAACUACGUG
rnacentral:rRNA from 1 species